UACGUAGGGGGCUAGCGUUGUCCGGAAUCAUUGGGCGUAAAGCGCGCGUAGGCGGCCCGGUAAGUCCGCUGUGAAAGUCGGGGGCUCAACCCUCGGAUGCCGGUGGAUACUGUCGGACUAGAGUGCGGAAGAGGCGAGUGGAAUUCCUGGUGUAGCGGUGAAAUGCGCAGAUAUCAGGAGGAACACCAAUUGCGAAGGCAGCUCGCUGGGACGUGACUGACGCUGAGACGCGAAAGCGUGGGGAGCAAACAGG
rnacentral:rRNA from 1 species